UCUGUGUACGAAGAUUGUUUGAAUGGGC
rnacentral:piRNA from 1 species